ACUCCCCGGCCCGGCCCGAGGGGAGCGCUGCGCGGCCAGCGCGCAGGCGCCGCAGCUUCCGCCCGGCUCGCCCGUCAAUCACCGGGACGGUUGGGCGGAGGGGCGGCCCGGGGCUGGAGGGGCGGGGCUUUGGGGACCCUCAAAAACCAGGCUUCCGCGGCGGCCAGACGUGAUUGGUGGGCCGCCGUGAAGGAACUGGCCGUGGAGGAGCCUAUUUGGAAACCGCAAUAGAAGUACCGUUGCAAGGAAGAAAAAAAAAAAAAGGAAGAAGAAGAAGAAGUUGUGUUGCUGCCAACCUACCUGAAGGCUACUGGAAAAGGAAGGCCGUCAUCCAGGUGCGGCAGGCAGCCUGUAAAACACGCCCACACGCGCAUUCAUCAUCAUCAGGUGGUGUUUAAAUGCCCACACCUUCGUAGUCUGGCUGAUGAGUCUGUUGGCCAGGUCACACUGCUACCUGGCACCUUAUGUGACUCCCGAAAAAUUGACUGCCUGCCCCUCCUAAGAUCUCCGCCGGGAUCCCCUCUGGCCUCCCCAGUACAGAAUCCUGAGAAUCACAUGCAAAAUUGGGAACAUGACCAGAUAAUGGAAACAAUCCUGGAACAAGGAGAUUGCAUAAACAGAAACAAGAUACACACUGGCAAGCAUAAAUGGCCAGCCCCAGAGUGAUGCCAUGUAAAGACCCUGAGAAGGUCUGCGACUGGAAACCACCCCAAGGAGUCUCUGCCCUCCUUUCUCUUGUGCUGCCCCCCUGAUGCCGCCACAAUC